GAUGAACGCUGGCGGCGUGCCUAAUACAUGCAAGUCGAGCGAACAGAUGAGGAGCUUGCUCCUCUGACGUUAGCGGCGGACGGGUGAGUAACACGUGGAUAACCUACCUAUAAGACUGGGAUAACUUCGGGAAACCGGAGCUAAUACCGGAUAAUAUAUUGAACCGCAUGGUUCAAUAGUGAAAGACGGUUUUGCUGUCACUUAUAGAUGGAUCCGCGCCGCAUUAGCUAGUUGGUAAGGUAACGGCUUACCAAGGCAACGAUGCGUAGCCGACCUGAGAGGGUGAUCGGCGACACUGGAACUGAGACACGGUCCAGACUCCUACGGGAGGCAGCAGUAGGGAAUCUUCCGCAAUGGGCGAAAGCCUGACGGAGCAACGCCGCGUGAGUGAUGAAGGUCUUCGGAUCGUAAAACUCUGUUAUUAGGGAAGAACAAAUGUGUAAGUAACUGUGCACGUCUUGACGGUACCUAAUCAGAAAGCCACGGCUAACUACGUG
rnacentral:rRNA from 1 species